rnacentral:rRNA from 1 species
ACGCUCGACACCUACGGGGGCAGCAGUCGGGAAUAUUGCGCAAUGGAGGGAACUCUGACGCAGUGACGCCGCGUAUAGGAAGAAGGUUUUCGGAUUGUAAACUAUUUUAGACAGGGAAGAAUAAAGACAGUACCUGUAGAAUAAGCUCCGGCUAACUACGUGCCGGCUGCCGCGGUAAUCUGAGCGGGCUGGCAAGGC